rnacentral:rRNA from 1 species
UACGUAGGGCGCAAGCGUUGUCCGGAUUCACUGGGUGUAAAGGGUGCGCAGGCGGGAGUGCAAGUCAGCGGUGAAAUCUCACGGCUCAACCGUGAAACUGCCGUUGAUACUGCAUUUCUUGAGUUAGGGAGAGGUUGAUGGAAUUCCAGGUGUAGCGGUGAAAUGCGUAGAUAUCUGGAAGAACACCGGUGGCGAAGGCGGUCAACUGGCCCUCAACUGACGCUGAGGCACGAAAGCGUGGGGAUCAAACAGGG